UACGUAGGGACCAAGCGUUGUUCGGAUUUACUGGGCGUAAAGGGCGCGUAGGCGGCGUGACAAGUCACUUGUGAAAUCUCCGGGCUUAACUCGGAACGGCCAAGUGAAACUGUCAAGCUAGAGUGCGGAAGGGGCAAUCGGAAUUCUUGGUGUAGCGGUGAAAUGCGCAGAUAUCGGGAGGAACACCAAUGGCGAAGGCAGCUCGCUGGGACGGUACUGACGCUGAGACGGCGAAAGCGUGGGGAGCAAACGGGGAUUAGAU
rnacentral:rRNA from 1 species